GGGGGGGGGGGUUGAGCUGCUCGUCCAAGGGAGAGCUAAUGUUUCAAUCGCUGGCCCCCGGAGGACCACACAAAAAGCCACGGCUUCGUUGAUGGGGCUAUUAUGUGGCCUUUGCAGCUAGCGGUGGACUUAACCAAACUGUUAUCUAUUGGGGAGGUAAUGAAGCCCUUGGGGAUGCAAGGCCCAUGCCACACACUGUGCCUCACACGCCACAGGUCUCUUCCUUAGAUCCUCUUCUUCUUUUUGAAAAAGAUUGCUUCACUUUUAGGGAGCGAAGUGAGGUAGCCCUUGUUUGUACCUCUGGGAUAGAGUUCUGAUGGCACCUUUAAGGCCAGUCAUUAGCUUGUGUUGGGCCUCCACCUCUGUGCCAAGCAAAAUGUGCUCUUCUGUACGGUUUUGUUCCCUUCUCCUUAGACUUUUGUCUCCCUGACUCCAGUAUUCUUAGUUCAGUUUGAUUUUUGAAAAGUAUUUCCAAAGGAUUGGCUUCAGCCUUUUGAUUAGAACAGAGAAUAUUAAUAGAUAUUCAAUGUGUUGUGGGAAGGCUUUCAUGGCCCAAAUCACUGGGUUGCUGGGCUGUAUGGCCAUGCUCCAGAAGAAUUAUCUCCUGACAUUUAAUAAUAAUAAUAAUAAUAAUAAUAAUAAUAAUAAUAAUAAUAAUAAUAAUAAACUUUAUUUAUAUCCUGCCUCCAUCUCCCAGAGGGACUCCAGGAGGUUCACAAAACACUCAAGGUGUGACAUACAAAAUACAACAAGUGCAAAACAAAACAUAGGCAAUAAACACAUUUUGCCCACAUCUAUGGCAGGCAUCCUCAGAGGUUGUGAGAUCUGUUGGAAACUAAGCAAGUGGGGUUUAUUUAUCUGUGGAAUGUUCAGGGUGGGAGAAAGCAUUUUGCCUGCCCGAGGCAAGUGUGAAUGUUGCAAUUGGCCAGCUUGAUUAGCAGUUAAUAGCCUUGCAGCUUCAAAACCUGGCUGCUUCCUGUCUGGGGGAAUCCUUUAUUGGGAGGUGUUAACUGGCCCUGAUUAUUUCUUGUCUGGAAUUCCCCUGUCUUCUGAAUUUUGUUCUUUCACCUCCCAACAAAGGAUUCCCUCAGGCAGGAAGCAGCCAGGUUUUGAAGCUGCAAGGCUGUUCAGUGCUAAUCAAGCUGGCCCAUUGCAAUAUUCACACUUGCCUCAGGCAGACAAGAGUUUUUUCUCCCACCCUGGACAUUACACAGCUAUAUAAACCCCACUUGACUAGUUUUCAACAGACCUCACAACCUCUGAGGAUGCCUGCCAUAUGUGGGUGAAACAUCAGGAGAGAAUGCUUCUGGAACAUGGCCAUACAGCCCGGAAAACUCACAGCAACCCAAUAUUAUUUGUGCCUUGAUUUGCAAAUCACACUACGUAACACGACUUUUGUUCCUGGUUUAUAAAUUCCCAAUUCCCUAAUGUAGGACAUCCUGCAGCACAUUUUGCUAUAUAUUUUAAAUGAAUAUCUCAGAGUCUCAACCAAUUCAACUAAGUUUCUGGAGCAUAACAACCACUUUCAAAGUAAGUACCACACAAUGAAACAGGAAGUAACACUUUUAACGCAGAAACAGGACAUUUUUGAGAUUGUGCUACAUAGUGUUGUUGUUGUUGUUGUUGUUGUUAUAUUUAUCUAUACCCCUCUUUACUCUCUUAAGUGAGACGCAAAGCAGUUCACCACAUUUAAAACAUUACAAUUUAAUCCAAAAUACCACUCUUCCCAGCUGCGUGAGGGCAAGCAAAUAUUGGCACCUGAGAUAGUAACUACGGAGAAAUGAGAGAACUAAGGCCUAAAAUUAAAAAUCCCCUCAGAAGUUCUUUCACGCCCCAAACCUUUAGCAUUGCAGCAGCCCACAGCUUCAUUUGAGCCUUUAGGAAAACAGUUUGGGCACCCAAAGAAAGGGGUCAGGCAAAAUCACCCAGGAACUGGGAACACAGAAAAUAUAAGAGAUCUAGGUGCGAACUCUUUUGAAUAUUUAACUACUCGGAAAUUGUAAACAUUUGGAGAGGGAAUAAAAUGUCCUUUGGAGGGAAAGCAGAAUUCCUAUUUGGGGAGGGGGCAGUGUCUCUUGAGGACACCAAAAUCCGACAGUUAGUCCCAACCAAAUAAAGGCAUUUAAUGGAGGAUGGGAACUCUCUGCGUCAAGCCUUAGCAUGUUCCAUUAAUUUAAUAGGUUGGAUUUAGUUGAGACCACCAAAUGGAUUUAGGCCUGGAGUUGUUGGUCAGUAUAAAGUAGCCACCUUUGUUGUUGUUUUUGUUGUUGUUGUUGUUGUUAUAUUGUCCAGCUGUAGUAUGCCCAGAUAUUUACAGGCUUCAGGCUGAUUUCACUUUAUGGUUUGUUCCUUUGGCAUCUCUAUGCCCUCACUGUGUGAGUAAUUUUCCCUUUCUUUAGUGCCACUGUGGCGCAUUUUUCUAGGCCGAACUCCAUACUGAUUUCAGUGCUGAAGAUACUAACUGUGUUGGUCAGUGACUGGAUUUCAGUUUUUGAUUUUCCAUAAAGCUUUAGAUCAUCCCGGUACAGCAAGUGGGAAAAUGUUGGUGAAUUUCUUGCUCUUUGGUAGGCCAUGUUUGUUUUCUGUAGAAUUACUGAUAGUGGGAUCAUUGCAAUGAUGAACAACAGUGGUGACGCUGGAAAAUUCCUCAGUUCCAUAACUUUAGUUUUCCACAAAUAGCAUUAUUAUUAUUAUUAUUAUUAUUAUUAUUAUUAUUAUUAUUAUUAUUUCACGCUGGGCUCCCCUCAAGGAUGAGGUGGAGCAUAACAUGCCUAGAUAAAAACAUAAGGCCAUUAAACACAUAUAUUAAAAGGCAUAGACUUAAGAUUAAAGCAUGUUAAUAUAUUGUUGAAGGCUUUCAUGGUCGGAAUCACUGGGUUGUUGUGCAUUUUCCGGGCCUUAUGGUCAUGUUAAAUAUCUCACAACCUCUGAGGAUGCCUGCCAUAGAUGUGGGCGAAAAGUCAGGAGAGAAUGCUUCUGGAACAUGGCCAUGUUAAUAUAUUCGAUUUGUGGUGUUUGUGACCCAACAUGCAAUUUGGUGAAAAAACAGCCUUGCUUGGAACUCUAGAAUGUUUUCCCUCCUAGGAACCAAUCUGAGUUUUUCUUCCCUACAGUAAACUGGAAAUUCCGUAGAGGAAAAAUAUCCCCGGAGAGAGUUUUUAUUUCCAUUCCAGAUGCCUCAGACCAGUAAUGGAAGGAUUCCCCUAUUUCGGGUUCACUUGAGUUGGGUGGCCUUGGGGUGCAUUACACUAUAAAAGUAAUGACAUUACUUUAAUUGCCCUGGCUCAAUGCUAUUUCUUCUGGGUUGCUGCGAGUUUUCCGGGCUGUAUGGCCAUGUUCCAGAAGAAUUCUCUCCUGACUUUUCGCCUACAUCUAUGGCAGGCAUCCCCAGAGGAUGUGAGGCCUGUUGGAAACUAAGCAAGUGGGGUUUACUUACCUGUGAAAUGUCCAGGCUGGGAGAAAGAACUCUUAUCUGUUUGAGGCAGGUGUGAAUUUUGCAAUUGGCCACCUUGAUUAGCACUGAAGAGCACUGAAGGUCUGGCUGAUUCCUGCCUGGGGGAAAUCCUUUGUUUGGAGGUGUUACCUGGCCCUGAUUGUUUCCUGCCUGGAAUUCCCAUUUUCAGGGUGUUGUUCUUUAUUUACUGUCCUGAUUUUAGAGUUUUUUAAAUACUAGUAGUCAGUUUUUCUUCAUUUUCGUGGUUUCCUCCUUUCUGUUGAAAUUGUUCACAUGCUUGUGGAUUUCAGGAUAGAAGAGAGAAAACAGCAAAGCCUGUUUGGACAUGCAUAGGAUUAUAGAGAGGUGUCCCUCAGUCUAUCUAUCCACUACCCAUCUAAUAAAUGAGACUUGUGUAGUCCAGGAUGACUCCCAACAGCUUCCUUCAUCUCCACCUCCAGCCCUAGACCUCCUCAAUCCCUCCCUCCCAGCCAUGCUGCACUCGUGUUGACAGCCACCGCGUCUGCACCUCCUCCGCAACUUCCUCUCGCUCUUCUUCUGCUCAUCGGUUCCUUUGGGAUUCAGAGCUCUCCUUUAGACCUUCAGAGCCUCAUCUCCUCCCGAGGAAACUCAGCAGAGGCACCAAGACAAACCGCGUCUCUCUUCGGCUGCCAUUCUUCCGAUCCUCCUUUCAGAGUCUUGGGAAGGAGAGAGUCGAAGCCGGCGCUUGAAGCGGGUCCAUAGCGAAAGAGAGAGAAAGAGGGGCUUCCAUGGGAGAAAACAGCACUCUGCUUGCGGAAGAAAAAGGAAAGGAAAGGACCUCAGUGGAAGUGGAUACAUGUAUGUUGCUGUUUGGACUUCAAUAUAGAAGUACUCUUGUGAAUUUCAAAAAGGAGGUAUCCCUUUACUUCGAAGUCUGAUAUCUGAAGCCGGGAGAAGAAAAUCCCUAAUGUUUUCCUUGUAGAUCAAUCCACAAUUUCAGUCAAAUCUGAAAAGUACUUGUACAGGUUUAAAUGGAAAUAUUACACUUUGAUUUCCGAUUUCUUGAAAAGGUAAGUAAAAAAAAACAACCUUCAUAGAUGAAUAAACAACACUCGUUCAAUGUGUUGUCGAAAGUUUUGAUGGCCCAAAUCACUGGGUUGCUGUGAGUUUUCCGGGCUGUAUGGCCAUGUUCCAGAAGCAUUCCCUUCUGACGUUUCACCCACAUCUAUGGCAGGCAUCAUCAGAGGUUGUGAGGUUUGUUGGAAACUAGGCAAGCGGGUUUAUAUAUCUGUGGAAAGUCCAGGGUGGGAGAAAGAACUCUUGUCUGUUUGAGGCAAGUGUAAAUGUUGCAAUUAAUCACUUUGAUUAGCCUUGCAGCUUCAAAGCUUGGCUGCUUCCAGCAGUAUUAAACAACUCUAAAAUCAGGACAAUAAAUAAAGAGCAACACAACAACAACAACAAAAACCAAUGUUAACUUCUUAAUGAGAAGUUCUGGCUGAACGAUGCCUUUUGAGUAUUAGGUUCUCUCUUCUUCCACCUAUUAUUAUGAUUGUCUUUAUUUAUGCCCUGCCUUUUCCCCUGUGGGGGCUAACACUCCACACUAAACACGUCUAAAAGGUGCAAUGCAAAAGUUAAAAGGCAAUUAAACAGUAACAGUGGGGUAAAAACAAUAUCAAAAUACACUAAAUAGAUUAAAAUGGCCUUUAAACUCAUAUUCCCCCAAUCCCACCCACAGCACCCCUGGAAUUCAAAACCACUGCACCCUUUGAACUGAUCUUCCACACCUCUUUCUUGAAAAGCCUGUCUGAAUAAAAAGGUUUUAUACCUAGAAAAAGAUUGGUCUGGUUCUUACAUAAUUGUUAGGCACGGUUGCAACGCUGCUUCUAAAACCAAACCGACCUUAUUAUACAUAGGAUGAAGAAAGGGGGAACUAGUGCCUAUGGGCCUGGAUAUGGGUAUUUAUUUAUGCCUUCAAGUUGGCGACCCCAUUAAUGUAUAGGGUUUUUUAAAGGCAGGAAUAUUCAGGGCCCUUCCAGACAGGCCCUAUAUCUCAGGAUCUGAUCCCAGAUUUUCUGCUGGGAUCUCCACUGCCGGAUAAUCUAGGAUAAACAGAAAACCUGGGAUCAGAUCCUGGGAUAUAGGGCCUGUCUGGAAGGGCUUCCUUUUGUGCAAUAGUGUCACUUUAGUUGUUUUGGCUUAUGGGGUGAGUUAAGGUUUGAUUUGCUCUCAAACCUACUUUUUCUUGCCAGUCCUGAGACUUACACACGAGUAGACAUGUGAAGGAUUUUUUUGUCUUCUUGCCCCAUGGAAACUGAUAAACUCAUUCCCCAGCCUUCUCACAACUCUCGUACUCAUUUAAUGGACGAUACACACCAUUUCCAGCCUAAUGGUAUGAUGCUUUGUCUUUUGUAGGUCCAGAGUUUAGAGCCGAUAAAACUUGGGAGCAAACUAUUUGUCCAGCAUUCUUGGCCAGUCCACCGCCUCCUUCCAGAAGCUGGAAAAGUUUUUUUGGCGCGAAGACUCUCAGAAUCGCCUGUUAGAACAUUCUUGGAGAAACGUUUCCAAGCUCUGCUUCUUCGCGGAAAACCUUCCCAAAUCACCAAAAACUCGUUUGUCUGGAUACCCCGUUUAUUUCCAAUCCAUCAACACUUCUGAUUUUAUUUGGUUCCUGAUUUCAUCUCAAUCCAAUACUAUGCCUUCAUAUGGGGUAGAGAUGGGGAUGAUUCCCUGCCGUUCAGGCUUCCAAUACACUCCAGAUUCCAGCCAGAAUUUAAAAGUGAUCUAUACUGCAGAACAGUGGUUCUCAACCUGUGGGUCCCAGGUGUUUUGGCCUACAACUCCCAGAAAGUUUACCAGCUGUUCGAAUUUCGGAGAGUUGAAGGCCAAGACAUCUGGGGACCCACAGGUUGAGAACCACUGCUGUAGAAUGAAUGCUCCUCCACACCAAUCGAAUUGCAAUAGCAUGGUGCUGUGGAAUCAUCUGUCUCUAGCCUUCCCUGCCAAAGGGUAGCCAGACUAGCACUUCAAGGGUCCCAGAGAACUGAGGCAUUGUAGUUAAAGUCGUGUCAAAGUGCAUUAAUUCUACAGUAUAGAAUUAAGAUUCUCAACCAAAUUUAGGAAUGGGUUCAGCACCUUGUCUUGGAAAUAGCAACCUCCCAAGCCUUUCACUAUUUGUUUGUUGUUAUAUAUAUUUGCUAACCUGUAUUCUAUGUGUAUGUUGAUUUGCCAGUUUGACUGUAUCUCUUUGGUGUGGGAGGGGUUAUAGACAUGUGUACUGAACAUGUUCAGACUCAGGAUUCCAUUUUGUAUUCAGUUUUGCAUCAGACCCCAGUGGAGGUGUAUGCAUGUAUGUGUUUGAUCCUCUUUGAUGUUUGCAUCAGACCUCAGUGGAGGUGGAUGCAUGUUGCUGUUAGGAUUUCAAUAGACAGGUAUGCUUAUAGACUUUAGUGAGUACAACAAUACUUAAAAACUAUGGACUAUUGAUUAAGAAUGAUACCCUGUGUACUCAACACAGAGAGCAGCUACAGCAUAUCCAUAACCGAACUUUGAUAAGAAAUGUGUCUGCAUGGUGAAUUAAUACAAGAUGUUUAUGAGUAAACAAGAUACGUUAUUUUUCAAAGAAGAAUUUGUUUUUAUCAUAAACUAAGAGGUUUCAAGGGAGUGGAUAUUUUUGGCAACAGUAAUCAUAAUUUGCAACUGCAACUUCAGCUUCAAAGAAACAACCAUCCUCUGCUAACCAAAUAUAUUUUUGUAGUGGCAUGUCUUUGCCUUGGCAGUUGAAAGAGCGAUUCUUCAGUUUAAUAGCUGAGUUACCUGUGUGCCAUUACAUGAAUGCUUAUGAAUAUCACUUGUUGAAAGAGUUGACUUCUAAACACGAUGCUUUUGACUAGUAGUUUUCAAAAGGUGAUCUUCACAUGGAGAUUUACAUUUGCCAAACUGUUAGGACAUCACUUUUCCUUUUCAAUAAGUUUAUGAUUGCCAUUUAUUUCCAAAGGGAUAUGUGUCCAGAGAAUGGGUGCAGUUAUUUCCAAUAAGAGAGGAUCCACUACCCUUCUGUCAAGGGAAGCCAGCAGCUCGUAGCUGAAAGAAAUCACCACAUUUGCUCUUUUAAAAGUGUAUGCCUGCCUGGAAAUUGGCCUUAAAUUUGCUGUUACCCAGCAGCUAGGCGUGCGUAAAGGCCCAGGAUUGUGAUAAAUGUGUGUAUGCACCAACAACAACCCUAUGGACUUCCACUGGAAUGCCCUGCAAGAAGUCCUGCCAAAAUUUUAAAACUUGACACUCAUCUCCUCUGCGCUCCAGGUCGGUAUUGAGAGAAAGUAAGACGUUCUCAUAUUUUGAAACAAGGAGAGAGGCGGGAGGAGACUUCGUGCAGCCUUAAGGAGCUCACACAAAUCCCUCGCCAAGCGAGAUCUGGAUCUUUGGGUUGAGAAAUCGCCUUCCUUCUAUGGAAAUAGUUGACAAGAACCCGGAGGAUUAGUCGCAUUCCACUCCGGAUCACCCCCCCCCCCCCCAAUACACACACAUUUCCCCCCCUGGCAAGAUGUGGAAACGACUGAUCCCUUCCCAAGGCUAGAAACAAGGCCCAGGGAAAGUGAUCUAACAGGGAUUUGGGUUGUUUGGCUUUCUGGCCUGGGAGUCCCGCAUGAGCUGCUUGGGCCAGAAAGCUGAUGGGGGCAUUUGACAGGCAGUUCUCUCCCCCCCCCCCCCCCCAGCUCCUUCACAAGACAUUUUUACGGUGAAAUCUUUUGCUUUUCUGUGCCCCUCUUUGCCAUCUUCUUUGCAGUCUGCUAUGGGGAAGGUGGGUUUGCGAAUUUAAAAAUUGGCAGAACAGAACGGGGAGGAAAAAGUUGGAGACUGAAGGCAAAACCAACUGUAACCCAGCCUCCCUCUCUCUAUGUGUCCUCUCUCUCUUUACUUCUCUCUCUGUGAUAUCUUUACUUGAAAGGAUUCCAGAAGGGCUUAUAAACAAGAAAUGGAAACAAGAUCAUCUUGUGACCAUCGAAAAUGCAAGAUACAAAAGGAAUAGUGGCGGGAAGAGGGAAGAGUCUACCUGUCCACCACUUAUUUUAAAAGAUGACAUUCAUACCGAUUAAGCUUGAGACAAGUAUUCUUCCCCAAUGGGACAGACGGAAACCUAUACUUGUAGACUACUCACAGGACAGGACCGUGGAACCUGUUACUCGGAGAUUAUGGGGCCAUCAUGGACCAUUCCUGUUAAGUUUUAAUUGCCAGCAAUGUGUGUAUUUUCUAACCUAUUUAGACAGUCAAUUAUGAUACCCUCA